UGGCUGCACCGAAGUUAGGAGCAUAAUAUUUAUAACUGUUAGAUCUUCUUGUUGGAUGGACCCGUUAAGUAUGAUAUACCGUCAGGCUUACAGCUCAGUGGGGAGUCUGCUUCUCCCUUGACCCUCCCCAAUCCUGUGCCCUCUUUCUCUCUUCGUCUCUCAGUUAAAUAAAUACAAUCUUAAAAAAAAAAAUUGUUUUUGGACAUGCUAAGUUUUAGAUAUCUGUUAAAAAUUCUUAUGAAAAUGUCAAGUUAAAGUAAGUCUGAAAGAGAUUAGAGUUGAAAUAAAAGUGAAUGUACAGAUGAUAUUCAACAUCUUGGGACUGAAUGAAAUGAAAUAAGGAAGGAGUGUGAAUAGACACUCCUAUUUGGGGUGCUCCAAUCUUUAAAGGCGGGAAAAUGGAAGAGGAUCCAACAAAAGAGAGGCUGACAGCAGCAAAACCAAGAGAGUGUAUGUUGCGGUAUCAUGGAUAUAAAAGGGAAAAAGGUGUUUCAAGAUGGAGGGCGUGAUUAACUGGUUACAAGCUGAUGGUGAGUGGAAGGGGGACUGAGAAUCAUCCUUUGUGGGUCAUCGAAGAGCAUGGUUUCCAUAAUUUGGGGGACAGGAGAUUGCAGUGGAUUUGAGAAAGCAUGGGAAGGAAUAAAGUGGAAACAGAGAAGACUCUCUUUUGCAGAGUUUUUUUUUUUUCUUUCCUUUUUUUUUUCUUAAUUUGUUUUAUUUGUGGACAUUUUCAUGAAUAAAUAUAGCAAGAAUAGAGACUUUCACUUCCAGCCAAGAUUGAGUAAUAGGCACUGUAUUUACUUUCCCACAUGAAACAUUUUUUUAAAUGGACAAAAUACAUGAAACAGUGAUUUGAAAGACUUUGGGUGACAAAAGACAGUUACUCUUGAAAGAGAAGAAACAAAUGAGUGAGCCACAUGACUGCUGCAGCUUACUGCUUUGAGUGAGUUUCUGGGCCUCAGCACAGGAAAGGGGACAGAGCCUGGUGGGAUCCUUGAAUUGAGGAUGUGGAGCUGAGAGUCUAGGGAGACUAAGUGACUAACAUCACAGAAUAAAAUACUGUAGAGGAGAGAGCCACAGAGCGAGAACUUCAAAGAUCUGGAGAAGGUCUCACUUUAUUAUUAACUGAAUACACACUAGCACAUGAUUCCUUUAAAAGGAUUAGCAGAAAUAUUGUCUGGUAUUCACACAGUGCUGGGAAUGGUGUCUUUUUCCUCCAGCCACAAUGGAACUCAAGAUUCACGUAACAUUUGUUAUAGUGCUUAGAAGCUUUUGCGUCAGUAGUGAGACUAAUUAGCCACAGACACUGCAUUUUUGGCUAACAUAUAUUAAAAAUGAGAUAGAAAAAGGUCAAAUCAUUGUAAUUUAACAUCUUAAGAUAAAGCUCAAGACUCAUUAUAGGAAUACAAAAAUACCCAGCAUCCUUCAAGGAAAAAUACAUAAUGUCUGAUAUCCAAUAAAAGUUAAUCAGGCAAGAAAAUACUCCACAUAAUAACGAGAUAAAUCAGUUGGUCCAAAAUCAGCUUAGAAGUGACACAGAUGUUAGAAUUAGCAAACAAAGACUUGACCAUGAUUAUUAUAUCUUUAUUGUAUAUGUUCAAAAAUUUAAACAGAGAUAUGGAAGAUAUUAAUAUAUCCAAAUAUGUAUAAAGAUGAAAACUAUAAUAUCACAGAUGAAAAUAUACAGGAUGGAAUUAAUAGCAGAUUAGACAUUGUAAAGGAAAAGAUUAAUGAACUUGAAAUAACAAUAAUGAAACACUAAUGAAUUAAUCAGAAAAAAUAAUAAACAGCAUAGCAGUGAGGUGUGGAAGAGUGUUGAAUGGCCUCAUACAUAUGUAAUUGGGAGAGAAGCUUGGACAGAAAAAAUUUUGUAAGAAGUAAUAAUAAGGAAAUUUUUUGAAGUUUAAUGAAAACUAUAAACUCAUAUAUUCACAGCCCUCAACAAGCCCAAGUUCAAGAAAUGAUGAAAAUCACACCAAAGCACAUCAUGACUAGACAGCUCAAAACUACUGAUAAAGAGAUAAUUUUAAAAGCACAUCUCAAAAGAGACAUAUUACAUACAGUAGAACAAAGAUAAGGGUGACAGUAGAUUUCUUGCCAGAAAUAAUGCAGAUGAUAAGACAGUGGAGCAACAUCUUUAAAGCAUAUAAAAUAAUUUAAAAGACUGCUGAGAAUUCUGUACCUGGCAAAACUGUCUUUGAAAGAUAAAAGUGUGACAAAGAUUUUUUUCAGAUAUAUGAAAGCUGAAGGAAUUCAUCACCAGCAGACUCACACUACAAGAAAUAGUGUGGAAAGGUGGAUCUAAGCAAAGAAAGGAAGAACACCAAAGAUGAAAACUACAUAGGAAAACCUUACCUAAAAAUCAAGCAUCAGAUCCCAUUUGGCCCAUGGGCCAUUGUUUCCUAACCCUUGGUCUACGUAGAAAAUCCUUUGGAAUCUACAAAAAAUUUCUAAAACUACUGAGGUUACAAAUGUUACAGGACGCAAGACCAAUAUACAAAAAAUUUUGGUUUUAUAUAAUAACAAUGAAUAAUCAGGGUGCUACAGCAUGUCCAUAUGGGGAUGAGAAGAGAGGACAAAUGGAGGCAUAAGGAAGUGGAACUGGCUCCUUGAGUGGGCUUGUGUGUCCUGUGCUCAAGGGAGACAUGGGUCUGGGAGAAGAGCAUAGCUCCUCCGGAACAGACAAAGACGGAUAGGACUUGCUUAAUAUGCCACAGUGGCUCUUUGUUAGUGAUGAUGAUAAUACUAACAAUUACAGCAAUGAAAAUAGUUGGGAGGCCUUUGUAUUCAUUCAUAAAAUGAGUCACACAAAUUCAGCAGUCCUUGAUUUUCUUUGAUGAAGUUUCCAACCAGCACAUUGAAGAGUACCUUACAGGUAAAGAAUUUUUGAGGUCUCCAGCGAAGAAAGAGUAAUGACCUCAACCCCAACUUUCCCUGGAAGUAAGGUCCAGUUGGUCUAAAUUGGAGGAAUCCUUUGAUAAGGAUGAUGGAAAAUCCUCUACCUGUUUAUUCACUGUAAAGUCGUAUUGCCAUUCAAAGUUUGCAGUACUAGUAGUAUUUUCAUGAACAAAAACCUCUGUCCCCUUCUCUCUGUUCCCUUUCUGUUCCCUCUCUGUUCCCUACCAUGAGUCCCAUCACUGUUACUCAUGCAAGAAAAAAAUAGCAGUAGCUUCCGUUUAUGAAGUGGUAGUAGGCGCUGUCACUCAAAUCUUUCACAAUAGCCCUAUGCAGUAGAUAGUAUCAGCUCCUGUUAAUCGUGGAAAAUGAGGCUUAUAGAGCUUAGGUCAGGGUCUGAAGUCACAUCUCAGAAGUAUCAGAGCCAGAAUUAAAAUCCAAGUCUGCGUGACUCCAAAGUCUUUGCUCUUGAUGAGAAUUUCAUGUCAUGCCACCUGCCCUUCUGAAUGAAAAGUUUCACUGGUGUAGAUAUAUGCAUGUUUCCCUCCAAUUCUCAUUUAUUGCAAGGACCACAUUUUGACAUAAUAAAGGAACUCAGAAGGAUAAAAAUAAUUCACGGUUCCAACAUCCUGUUGUAGCAACUGUUUCAUUUUUAUCCAUUUCCUUUUGAUCUUUAUCCAUAUGUACAUGUUUUACGUAGUUGUAGAUAUAAUUUUGUAUUCUGCCGCUAUGGUUAAUAUGAUACCAGGCAUUUUCCUUCCUGCUAUUUGGUCUUUAAUGGACGCGUAAUACUCCAUUUUCUUAAAGUGCCAUGAUUUCAUUAACCAUUCCCCACAAUGGACCAAGUUGUUUCCAUGUUUUGAGUUGUAGAAAGUAUACUGUAGCAAACAAUUUGAUUUCUGCCCCCUCCUCCAUCUUUUCUAAUUUUUUUUAGAGAAUCAGUUCCUAGGAGUGACAUUACAAAACAAGAAUUUGAACACGUUUAUGGCUUUGAUACUUUAAAAAAGAGUCAAAUUAAUAAAGUUUGUACCUCUGAUGAUAGUAAACGGAUAGCCUAAUCCACAAGAAUAGAUUAACUACAUUAAUUAUUGUUUAGGGGAACCAAAUUAAUGACAAAUGUGGAGUAAUUGCUUGUGAGUACAGAGUUUCUUUUCGGGGUGGUGAAAUGUUCUGGAAGUAGGUGGUGGUGAUGGUUGUAUAGCUUUGUGACAAUACUAGAAACACUGAAUUGUGUUUAUACUUGAAAAAGGUCAAUGAUAUGUUAUGUGAAUUAUAUCUCAAUAAAGCCACUAUAAAGAAUUAAAAACAAAGUUUCUGAUAUUCCAAGUAAUGGUUUCAACCAUUGCUAUCAAUGUUCUGUGUUUCUGUAUUUAUAUAUGGAAACAUCAGACUGCCUGGGUUUGACUCAUGAUAUCAUCACUUAGCUGCUGUGUGACCCCUGGCCAGCACUAUGUAAUUUGGGUCCUACAGAAGUCCACGCUGAGACAGAGUUUGGGGUACAGGAUAUGUGUUGAGGAUCAGCACUUACGAAAGCAGGGCAGAAGUGGGGCUAGGUGGAAGGGGUAGGAACAACGCCCAAGUCUGACAGCCUCAGUCAACCCUGCAGGGAGCUUUGGACGGUCAUUGUCCUUCACUGAGCUGAAAUGGCCCGACCUUUCCACACCAACCUUGGAUGGAACCUCACUUGUGUUGCCAGGAAGGGCAGGAUCUCGGGUCAGGCAUGAUCUGCAUCUGUGACCAGCCCUGGGGAGCACAGGGCAAGGGGCUGGCUGUUCUGCUCUAUCCCCACCACAGGGGAGCCCCAGGACCAGGCCUCCGGGUGGCAUACUCCCAUGUCUGUCACAAGAGGUCACCUGGCUCUGGGCUUUUGCCUCAAUUCCCUCACCUGUAAAAUUGAGACAAUAAUAGCACCUACAUCUUGGGAUUGUUAGGAAAUUAAAUGAGAACCUAUAUGCG